GCCUUUAGAGUCCAUGUGGAUGACUCCUGUGUUCUUAGCAUGACAACUGCAAGUUCAUUGCUCAUCUGAUUUCCAACUGCCUUGUCAUAUUAGCACUGCAGUCUGAGAUAAUGAUGGCUUUCUAAUUUAUAUUUCUUUUAUUUUUUUACUUCUUUUGUGCAGUGUUGGCUGUUCAAAUCCUGUCAUAUCAUAUGGAAGCAGCAGUGCAAGAAAGCAAGACGGGGAACUGUAAAUAGAGCUUUCUGAUGCCGUUCUGUUAGUAAUGAAGUUGAUCCGAAGUUCCUCUUGCACACACGCUGGGCGCUGUACUUCAUCAGGGGCUGGAAAAUCCAUUAUUCAAAGCUGAACUAGAAAAGUGUUAGGCAGGCUCCCUCUCCAUAGGUUAGGGAUCCUCAAGACUCUGCAAGGCAAUCCACCAUUGAGCUGCAAGAGCAUACUCAUGAGCAGAGAAGCUGGAGUCAGCAUGGAGACACAGAGCCUCCCAGCAAAGGUGAGCUUGUGAGUUGGCAGAUUCCUUCAGGAGAGUGCUCUCUGAUGGGGACCAAGGCAGCUGACCACAUGUCAGUAAGGCAGUGUCCUUUGUUCAUGGACUCAGUCACUGGCACUGGCAAUCCCCAGGAACAGUACUUCACUGGGAAUCUGUAAGAAACGUGCAACUACUAUGAGUGGAACAAAAGAUGUCUUAAAAAGAGACACUAUUUAGACUAACCAGUGAGUAAGCUUUUCAAGUGGACUGACUGACGUGGUAAGUCUUAAAGUAAGAUAUUUUUA
rnacentral:lncRNA from 1 species